UGGAUCAAAGUCCGCCGGCUUGGACAACUAGCUGUUAAUUAGUUUUUGUGGGAUCGAGGCCCGCUGAUCUAG
rnacentral:tRNA from 1 species